CGCGUAGGCGGAAUCUUAAGUCAGGUGUGAAAACUCUGGGCUCAACCUGGAGACUGCAUUUGAAACUGGGAUUCUUGAGGGCAGGAGAGGAAAGUGGAAUUCCUAGUGUAGCGGUGAAAUGCGUAGAUAUUAGGAGGAACCCCAGUGGCGAAGGCGACUUUCUGGACUGUACCUGACGCUGAGGCGCGAAAGCGUGGGGAGCAAACGGGAUUAGAUACCCCGGUAGUCCACGCUGUAAACGAUGGGUACUAGGUGUAGGAGGUAUCGACCCCUUCUGUGCCGCAGUUAACGCAAUAAGUACCCCGCCUGGGGAGUACGGCCGCAAGGUUGAA
rnacentral:rRNA from 1 species